CUGAGGUGUUGAGUGUAGAAGCUCAAUGAAGUUCAUCAAGAAUCAGAAGCAACAGCUCCACCUCCUCCUGCUAAACCAGGACCAGAGAAAAGG